rnacentral:lncRNA from 1 species
GGCUGACGGCUCCGCUCGGUUCCAGAGCCGAAGAACAGCCUGCUCCUCCUCAUCCUUGUGGUGCUGGCUGCUGUCCUCACUGCCAUCGUGGCGGCUGCCGGCUUCGUGGUCCGGAAGAAGAGCUCAAGCAAGGGGCCGUCCGGCCGUCGGUGGGCCCUGGGCUCGCGGUGGGUGCGGAGCGGGGAGGAAGGUAGAGCCUCAGGGGAGAUGCAGUUUCUCUUGGGCUCUGGCUGCUCCAGCCUCACCAACCAUCUGCGGGGCGUCCUGUGUUAUCUUGUGACUCUCCAUGUUCUCCAUCUGGGAUCAGGUAGGAAUGUCGUGGCCCGUGUCGGGUGGUGCAGGGCUGACAUGGGUGUUGCCCAGCUGUGUCUUCCAGAUGUGCGUCGCUGU